CAGCAGCACGGUCAGGUGGACUGGGGACAGCAAGGAGUCAUCAUGUCAGGUAGUCCUGGGUCUAGGACUCGCAACCAUCUCAAAUUCCAAAGUAACGUGCUUUGAACUUCAGAGUAGGUUCCCUGUUAAAGGAAUCAUCUCCGGGGUGUCUAUGGCAGUUGAGAAUGAAUACCUCAAGUCAUCUCCGGGUGUCAAUGGCAGUUGAGAAUGAAUACCUCAAGUCAUCUCAGGGGUGCCUAUGGCAGUUGAGAAUGAAUACCUCAAGUCAUCUCCGGGGUGUCUAUGGCAGUUGAGAAUAAAUACCUCAAGUCAUCUCCGGGGUGUCUAUGGCAGUUGAGGCUGAAUACCUCGAGAAAAUAAUCUAAGGUGUGGUUGGUGCCCAUUGCCUGAGGUGAUUGGUGAAUGGAGGAAAAGGGAAGAAGAAAGUCUAUGGUUCUAUUGUUUUUUGAUAAAGAGCAUCUCCCUACAUGUGAAGCUAGGUAAGGUAUCCAUUCACCUCCCUACAUGUGAAGCUAGGCUAGGUAAGGUAUGGAUUUACCUCCCUACAUGUGAAGCUAGGUAAGGUAUGCAUUCACCUCCCUACAUGUGAAGCUAGGCUAGGUAAGGUAUCCAUUCACCUCCCUACAUGGGAAGCUAGGUAAGGUAUGCAUUCACCUCCCUACAUGUGAAGCUAGGUAAGGUAUGCAUUCACCUCCCUACAUGUGAAGCUAGGUAAGGUAUGCAUUCACCUCCCUACAUGUGAAGCUAGGUAAGGUAUGCAUUCACCUCCCUACAUGUGAAGCUAGGUAAGGUAUGCAUUCACCUCCCUACAUGUGAAGCUAGGUAAGGUAUGCAUUCACCUCCCUACAUGUGAAGCUAGGUAAGGUAUGCAUUCACCUCCCUACAUGUGAAGCUAGGUAAGGUAUGCAUUCACCUCCCUACAUGUGAAGCUAGGUAAGGUAUGCAUUCACCUCCCUACAUGUGAAGCUAGGUAAGGUAUGCAUUCACCUCCCUACAUGUGAAGCUAGGCUAGGUAAGGUAUGCAUUCACCUCCCUACAUGUGAAGCUAGGUAAGGUAUGCAUUCACCUCCCUACAUGUGAAGCUAGGCUAGGUACGGUAUGCAUUCACCUCCCUACAUGUGAAGCUAGGUAAGGUAUGCAUUCACCUCCCUACAUGUGAAGCUAGGUAAGGUAUGCAUUCACCUCCCUACAUGUGAAGCUAGGCUAGGUAAGGUAUGCAUUCACCUCCCUACAUGUGAAGCUAGGCUAGGUACGGUAUGCAUUCACCUCCCUACAUGUGACGCUAGGUAAGGUAUGCAUUCACCUCCCUACAUGUGAAGCUAGGCUAGGUAAGGUAUCCAUUCACCUCCCUACAUGUGAAGCUAGGCUAGGUAAGGUAUGCAUUCACCUCCCUACAUGUGAAACUAGGCUAGGUAAGGUAUGCAUUCACCUCCCUACAUGUGAAGCUAGGUAAGGUAUGCAUUCACCUCCCUACAUGUGAAGCUAGGCUAGGUAAGGUAUGCAUUCACCUCCCUACAUGUGAAGCUAGGUAAGGUAUGCAUUCACCUCCCUACAUGUGAAGCUAGGCUAGGUAAGGUAUGCAUUCACCUCCCUACAUGUGAAGCUAGGCUAGGUAAGGUAUGCAUUUACCUCCCUACAUGUGAAGCUAGGCUAGGUAAGGUAUACAUUGAGAAUGUUUGUUGUCAGUCGAGAGAACCGGGGACGAUGUGUGUGGAAAACGGUGUAUUUUAUGCUAGUUGCCCCAGUAAAUAAUUGUACAGCACAAGAGUCGAAGGAGUCGAAGAAACUGGACAUAUUGUCGCUGCGGCAGAAAAGUUGCUGGGUUUGCAAGAGUUCAUAGCUGAAGACCUAAAAAUGCUACUGGCAGGUACUGAAGAUUUUCCACCCUCCCAGGUUCCUGAGCCUCAGUAGGGAUUGGCUUUGCUGUUUUUAACAGAAUAAAAUAGGAUGUUUUUGUUCAGUUUUUUGUUGUUGCCGUUGGUAGUCUGUAUGGAUUUCUCCCCAACCCCCAACUCCCACAAUGCUCCUGUUUUGUGAGAUCUUUUUGUUUUCAUCCCACACAGUAGGUGGUGGCGUGCCCCUCUGUUUGUUUGCGGACUGCCAUAAUACCAUAGAAGAAGAACAGCUAGCUACAAGACAACAGCGUUAAAAUCGAGCUGGUAAUUAUUUUCAUCCCGGGAGCUGCACUAAAACACUGACGCCAGAGAAGAAGGAGCCCUAGUCAGACACAGGUGGUGUGCAUACCAUCCACCGCUUCAGAGUACAUUAUUCGUUAACGUUCAGUCCCUGGACAAUAAAGAAGACAAGCUCAGGGCGAGGAUCUCCUUCCAGAGAGACAUCAGGGACUGUAACAUACUCUGUUUUACGGAAUAGUGUCUCUCUCUGGAUAUAUUGUCUCCCGUCCAUUCAGCCCGUCCAUCGCUCCGACAGGAAGAAAGAAUUCCCCAGGAAAAAUCUAAUCACAUUUAAUUGGUCACAUAUUCAGCAGAUGUUAUUGUGGGUGUAGCGAAAUGCUUGUAUUCCUAGCUCCAACAGUGUAAUAAUAUCUAACAGUAAUACACAUGAAUCUAAAAGUAAAAGAGCAAGAUGUAUAUGUGAUGUAUAGAUAUUAUGGACAGUAUGUGGAAAGAAUAUUUUGUAUAUCUGUAGAAUUCGUAGGAUAGAAUACAGCAUGUACAUAUGAAAUGAGUGUUCUCUUAUUAAAGUGAGGCGGAAGGGUUUGUUUCAUGAUUAACAA